CCCCAUCCACUCCUCGCCGGCUCCCUCCUCCGGCAACCACCUCCCCUCAGGGCUUCCAAGAUCAGGAGGGAGGAUCGGAGCCUUAGCUAGCCACCACCCCGAUCCCCUCUCUCUCGUUCUUCUUUCCCUCUCCUAGAUCACCUCACUAGGGCUUCACCCCCUCCUCGAUCUAGCAGCCGCAGCGGCCAGCGAGGAGCAGCACCAUCAAUGGCAUCCGGCGGUGGCGCGCUUGGAGCAUGGACAUCGACAGGGAGGAGGUCAAGGUCUAGAUCUGAAGCAGUGCGAGCCGCUCCUGAAGGCGGAGGUCAAUGUGCUCUGCCUCAUGGCCACGGAGAUCCUCGUUGAGGAGAGCAACGUCCACCGCAUCGAAGCCUGGCCCGUCAAGAUACGUGAAGAACCACCAUCAUAUUCAACAUCUGUCCUACAGAAGCGUGAGUCGUUUGACAACCUCCAUGCGGGCGUGGGAGUCGAAGUUCUGGAUCACACGAGGAUACUGAUAAGAGUUCCAGUUCCGGGAAUCCUCAAUCCGGGAAAGCAUUGUAUGACUUCACAGCAGGCGGCGAUGAUAAGCUGAAUUUGAACUCUGGAGAAAAUGUCGAUAUCGAAUAUGAGGUUGAUGGUUGGUACUACGUAAAGAAAAAGAGAUCUGGAAGGGAUGGGAAGAUAGCAGGUCGGGUGCCUGCUUUGUAUGUGAACUCGUGAUAGCAAUGAACCUUGUGACAUACUACUCUGAAUACUGUUUCUAUUGAAUUUGGUAACUAAUGUGGUAUUGAUGUGAGUACAUCUUAUUGAUUUUUCUUCAGAUAUGUGCAAUGUAUUGAUGAUUUAACGAGAAACUGUUCCGAAACAUGUUUCUACAGGUUAACUGUAUGCUAGAAAUAUGUUUUGGGACAUAUUAAUGCAACACGUUUGACUCGGAUUUGGUGAACUACAUGUAAAUUUAAACAUAUGUUAUAUUUGUAUACUCAUAUGGCAUGGUCAAAUGGAAUUUUUCACGCGAUCUGUUUAUAUUUCAAUCGUAUAUAUGUUUUGCUCUUCGCGUAGAUUGUUAUUUUGUGCCAGGAUUUGUGUUUUCACUUUUAUGUAAGCCUGUACCAUAUAGUAUACGUAUAUCUAGGUCCUUCUAUAAGCCAUAUGGUAAGUAGAGAAAAACUUAUUUGUAAAAUUAUCCCAGCAAUGAUAUUAUGAUUUACGUUCCAUGUUGCUGAUGGACAUGAUUUAUUUCUAACCAAGCCGUGCAAAAUUCUCACUUAUUAGAUUUCCAUUUGUCAUGCAGUUUCCUUGCUAUUAGCCUUCCAUGUCAUGUUCUAGAAUAAAUACCAAGACAGUAACACUUUGCAAUGUUUGCUUUCAGAAUGAAGUAGUUAUAAGAGCAUGUGGUCAAGUAGAAUCACUGUUGACUUCAGGAACGGCUGUCGCAGAUGGGUAAAGCUACAAAUUGCUCUGAGCUACAUUAAGUUUGGAUCAGGGGGUGGAUUGAAGAUGUGGACCCUGAGCUCCAGGAAUCCAGAGCAACCUAACACAUAUUCUUCCGCAUGUUUGGAUCAGUGGGUGGAUCGAAGAUCGACUUUGGCUCGCGAUGCCGGUUCAAGUUAGUGCUUGCACAUCCCAUCCUGCUCAAGGCUACUUGAUAUCUUGCUCACACCUGAGGUGCAUGUGUUCUCCCCCUUUCCUCCAGCGUGAUUUGGCCGUACCUCCAGCGUGAUUUUGCCGUACUGUGUCCAGGAGCAAGGUUGGAGGCGCACUGGUCCAGGGCUGUCCAUGUUGGGAUGUUACUUUGAUUCAUUCACCUUUUGUUAUUCAGCUCCUUUUUUUCCGAUCCCCAGCGACCUGGUUUAUCCUGUUAUGCUGGAGGUUUUGUUGCUAUCUGGCAAUAUUGUAUAUUGCAUAUUUUAGGUUGUAUAUUUGUGUUUUAUGAAAUAACCAAUCAGGCUUUGAAAUUUAUUUACCCAUUUGGUCAAAUCUGUAAAUUUAUUAGGAUUGUUAUGUGAAUAACGCAAAGAAACAAUAUUUUACAUGACAUGGAUAAUGUUGCAUCUACUUUUUUAUAUACCUUCUACACAUAUUUCUUGGCAGCUAUAUCUUCCCGUUUUCAUUGUUUUUAUGCAUUGCAAAUUUACUUUCAGGUACAAUAAAUCCUUUGCUAUUCUUAUGCUUAUGCAUAACUUCAUCUAGCUGCCUUUUACACUACACAUUUUGUGACCGGUAAGAUUCCUCAGUUUGUGCAUCUUUCCGCUAUAAGAACAGGUAUCCACUUUAGAAAUUUUACUUACUCUCUUUUUAGGUUUCAAAAAUAGAUGCCUACACAGUGUCCUUUCUUGCACCGCUACAGUGUGGACUCUAAUUUUGUUGGCCAAUCAAGGAACAACGAAAUGCUGGCGCAAUUUAAAAUGUUCUUUCUUGCAUUGCUAUAGUCUAGACCCAUUAUUGCUACAGUUGUGCUUUCUGUUUUCAAAGAGAUGCCAUUUGAUCAAAUAAAUAGCUCAUAUUUUCAUGAUUAAAUUUUGUCCUUCGGUGUUCUCAUGAUACUACUGGGCUGCUUUAUUAAAUGAUAAAGGAUGGUUAGAUAGUCAGGAUUUUACUACAGGUUUGAUGAUGUUGGGUGAUAAUAAUUACUAAUACUUCCAUUUAAAUAUGUUUCUUGUAUUUAAUUUUCAAUUUGCAGAACUACCACUGUACAUUACAACAAUUCAUUGAAAAGACCAAAAUUCUUCUCAAGUUCCCUUCAGGCAGAUAA